GUUGUUUGUUUAUUGUUUUGUACAGUUCUUGUAAUGUUCCGUUGCACCACUGUCCUAGGAUUAAGAGGAGGGUUGGGCGUCCACUAACAAGAUGUAUGCGCCACAUUCUGUAUGUGCCUGUUCCUAAUCAGGAGACAGUAAUUCAUUGGGUGUCGUUUCUUGCUAUGAAAUACAUCUUUUGUUCUUUCAUUUUUUUUGUACAUAAAUUAGGCCGUUAGUUUUCUCGUUUGAAUUGUUUUACAUUUGUGAUUUCGGGGCCUUUUAUAUCUGACUAAGCGGUAUGGGCUUUGCUCAUUAUUGAAGGCCGUAUGAUGAUCUAUAGCUGUUAUUUUCUGUAUCAUUUGAUUUCUUGUGGACGGUUGUCUCAUUGGCAAUCACUCCACAUCUUCUAUUUCUUUUUUUUUGUACAUAAAUCAGGCCACCAGUUUUCUUGUCUGAUUUUCUUUAACUUUGCCAUUUGUUGAAUUCUUGAAUGCCAAACGGUGACCUCAGUUCGUUACUUCUACGCCAUUUUGGUCCCUGAGAGGUAUG
rnacentral:lncRNA from 1 species